GAUGAACGCUGGCGGCGUGCCUAAUACAUGCAAGUCGAGCGAAGCGGGGAAGGGGGAGUAACACGUGGAUAACCUACUAUGAGAAUGGGAUAACUUCGGGAAACCGGAGCUAAACCGGAUACUUAGAAAUGGGUCAGAGCUGCAUUAGCUAGUUGGUAAGGUAACGGCUUACCACGGCAACGAUGCAUAGCCGACCUGAGAGGGUGAUCGUCCACACUGGAACUGAGACACGGUCCAGACUCCUACGGGAGGCAGCAGUAGGGAAUCUUCCGCAAUGGGCGAAAGCCUGACGGAGCCACGCCGCGUGAGUGAUGAAGGUCUUCGGAUCGUAAAACUCUGUUAUUAGGGAAGCGGUACCUAAUCAGAAAGCCACGGCUAACUACGUGCCAGCAGCCGCGGUAAUAC
rnacentral:rRNA from 1 species